rnacentral:rRNA from 1 species
CCUACGGGUGGCAGCAGUGGGGAAUAUUGCACAAUGGGGGAAACCCUGAUGCAGCGACGCCGCGUGAGUGAAGAAGGAAUUCGGUAUGUAAAGCUCUAUCAGCAGGGAAGAAAAUGACGGUACCUGAGUAAGAAGCCCCGGCUAACUACGUGCCAGCAGCCGCGGUAAUACGCAGGGGGCAGGCGUUAUCCGGAUUUACUGGGUGUAAAGGGAGCGUAGACGGCAGUGCAAGUCUGGAGUGAAAGGCGGGGGCUCAAACCCCGGACUGCUCUGGAAACUGUACGGCUGGAGUGCAGGAGAGGUAAGUGGAAUUCCUAGUGUAGCGGUGAAAUGCGUAGAUAUCAGGAAGAACACCAGUGGCGAAGGCAGCUUACCGGACUGUAACUGACGUUGAGGCUCGAAAGCGUGGGGAGCAAACAGGAUUAGAUACCCUAGUAGUC